rnacentral:rRNA from 1 species
UACGUAGGGUGCAAGCGUUGCCCGGAUUUAUUGGGCGUAAAGGGCGCGUAGGCGGCCAGCACAAGUCAGUUGUGAAAUCUCCGAGCUUAACUCGGAAAGGUCAACUGAUACUGUGCGGCUAGAGUGCAGAAGGGGCAACUGGAAUUCUUGGUGUAGCGGUGAAAUGCGUAGAUAUCAAGAGGAACACCUGCGGCGAAGGCGGGUUGCUGGGCUGACACUGACGCUGAGGCGCGAAAGCUAGGGGGAGCGAACGGG